rnacentral:rRNA from 1 species
CCAGACUCCUACGGGAGGCAGCAGUGGGGAAUAUUGGGCAAUGGGCGAAAGCCUGACCCAGCAAUGCCGCGUGAAUGAAGAAGGUCUUAGGAUUGUAAAAUUCUGUCCUAUGGGAAGAAACAAAUGACGGUACCAUAGGAGGAAGCCCCGGCUAACUACGUGCCAGCAGCCGCGGUAAUACGUAGGGGGCGAGCGUUGUCCGGAAUUACUGGGCGUAAAGAGAGCGUAGACGGUUCUGCAAGCCAGAUGUGAAAGCCCGGGGCUCAACCCCGGGACUGCAUUUGGAACUGUAAGGCUAGAGUGUCGGAGAGGCAGGCGGAAUUCCUAGUGUAGCGGUGAAAUGCGUAGAUAUUAGGAGGAACACCAGUGGCGAAGGCGGCCUGCUGGACGAUGACUGACGUUGAGGCUCGAAAGCGUGGGGAGCAAACAGGAUUAGAUACCCCAGUA